CAGCAGGCGCGAAAACUUUACAAUGCUGGCAACAGCGAUAAGGGGACCUCGAGUGCCAGGAUACAAUCUUGGCUGUCGCGAUGCCUAAAAAGCAUUGCAUAGCAAGGGCCGGGCAAGACCGGUGCCAGCCGCCGCGGUAACACCGGCGGCUCGAGUGGUAACCGCUAUUAUUGGGUCUAAAGGGUCUGUAGCCGGCCGGAUAAGUCUUUUGGGAAAUCCAGCUGCUCAACAGUUGGGCUUUCAGAAGAUACUGUUCGGCUCGAGGCCGGGAGAGGUGAGAGGUACUUCAGGGGUAGGGGUGAAAUCUUGUAAUCCUUGAAGGACCACCAGUGGCGAAGGCGUCUCACCAGAACGGACCUGACGGCAAGGGACGAAAGCUAGGGGCACGAACCGGAUUAGAUACCCGGGUAGUCCUAGCCGUAAACGAUACUCGCUAGGUGUCAGCCACGGUGCGACCGUGGUUGGUGCCGUAGGGAAGCCGUGAAGCGAGCCACCUGGGAAGUACGGCCGCAAGGCUGAAACUUAAAGGAAUUGGCGGGGGAGCACAAGGGCGAAUCGCG
rnacentral:rRNA from 1 species